GCUGGUGGCGCGGGGCACCGGCGCAGAGAAGGACAGGGGGCGGGGCGUCCGGACCGUGAGGCCGAGGGUGAGGACUGACCCGGCGGGUCGCCGCGGAGGGAAGAUGGCGGAGCUGCGCGCGCUUGUGGCUGUCAAGAGGGUCAUCGACUUCGCCGUGAAGAUACGGGUGAAGUCCGACGGGACGGGUGUGGUCACGGAUGGCGUGAAGCACUCCAUGAACCCCUUCUGCGAGAUCGCCGUGGAGGAGGCCGUACGGCUCAAGGAGAAGAAGCUGGUGAAGGAAGUCAUUGCCGUCAGCUGCGGGCCUACCCAGUGCCAGGAGACCAUCCGCACCGCUCUGGCCAUGGGCGCAGACCGAGGCAUCCACGUGGAGGUGCCGGCUGCCGAGGUGGAUCGCCUGGGUCCCCUGCAGGUGGCCCGGGUCCUGGCCAAGCUGGCAGAGAAGGAGAAGGUGGACCUGGUGCUGCUGGGCAAGCAGGCCAUCGAUGAUGAUUGUAACCAGACAGGGCAGAUGACAGCCGGAUUUCUGGACUGGCCACAGGGCACAUUUGCCUCCCAGGUGGCGCUGGAAGGGGACAAGGUGAAGGUGGAGCGGGAGGUCGAUGGGGGCCUGGAGACCCUGCGCCUGAAGCUGCCUGCCGUGGUGACCGCUGACCUGCGGCUCAACGAGCCCCGCUACGCCACGUUACCCAACAUCAUGCCAAAAUGGAGAGUUCGGUGUGUCAUCUCAACUGACAGGGGGCGUUCAGUAUGUCAUUCCAUCCAACAAGGAGGGUUCAUUGAGUCGUCUCAGCCAGUAGCCAACAGGGAGAGUACAAUUGGUCAUCUUGGCCAAAAGUCUAUUGAGUUAUUAUUGCGAGAAGAAUGACUUUGCCAGUCCGUUCCAGCCAGCGAAGGACUUCCCACGGCGGUUGACUAAAGAAAGCCAAGAAGAAGAAGAUCGAAGUGAUCAAGGCUGGGGACCUGGGCGUGGACCUGACCUCCAAGCUCUCCGUGAUUAGCGUGGAAGACCCACCCCAGCGCACAGCCGGUGUCAAGGUGGAGACCACAGAGGACCUGGUGGCCAAGCUGAAGGAGAUUGGGCGCAUUUGAGCCCUUUCCCUGAAACCCGGCAAUAAAACCAUGACUCUUG